rnacentral:rRNA from 1 species
AGAGUUUGAUCAUGGCUCAGAUUGAACGCUGGCGGAAUGCUUUACACAUGCAAGUCGAACGGCAGCACGGGGGCAACCCUGGUGGCGAGUGGCGAACGGGUGAGUAAUACAUCGGAACGUGCCCAGUCUGGGGGAUAACAUAGCGAAAGCUACGCUAAUACCGCAUACGAUCUACGGAUGAAAGCGGGGGAUCGCAAGACCUCGCGCGAUUGGAGCGGCCGAUGGCAGAUUAGGUAGUUGGUGGGGUAAAGGCUCACCAAGCCGACGAUCUGUAGCUGGUCUGAGAGGACGACCAGCCACACUGGGACUGAGACACGGCCCAGACUCCUACGGGAGGCAGCAGUGGGGAAUUUUGGACAAUGGGCGCAAGCCUGAUCCAGCCAUUCCGCGUGCAGGAUGAAGGCCUUCGGGUUGUAAACUGCUUUUGUACGGAACGAAACGGCCUUUUCUAAUACAAGAGGCUAAUGACGGUACCGUAAGAAUAAGCACCGGCUAACUACGUG